rnacentral:rRNA from 1 species
CAGUAGCCGCGGGAAUACGAAGGGGGCUAGCGUUGUUCGGAAUUACUGGGCGUAAAGCGCACGUAGGCGGAUAUUUAAGUCAGGGGUGAAAUCCCGCAGCUCAACUGCGGAACUGCCUUUGAUACUGGGUAUCUUGAGUAUGGAAGAGGUUGGUGGAAUUGCGAGUGUAGAGGUGAAAUUCGUAGAUAUUCGCAGGAACACCAGUGGCGAAGGCGGCUAACUGGUCCAUAACUGACGCUGAGGUGCGAAAGCGUGGGGAGCAAACAGGAUUAGAUACCCGCGUAGUCCCUGUCUCUUAUAC